rnacentral:rRNA from 1 species
GAUGAACGCUGGCGGCGUGCCUAAUACAUGCAAGUCGAGCGAACGGACGAGAAGCUUGCUUCUCUGAUGUUAGCGGCGGACGGGUGAGUAACACGUGGAUAACCUACCUAUAAGACUGGGAUAACUUCGGGAAACCGGAGCUAAAACCGGAUAAUAUUUUGAACCGAAUGGUUCAAAAGUGAAAGACGGUCUUGCUGUCACUUAUAGUAGGAUCCGCGCUGCAUUAGCUAGUUGGUAAGGUAGCGGCUUACCAAGGCAACGAUGCAUAGCCGACCUGAGAGGGUGGUCGCCCAGCCUGGAACUGAGACACAGUCCAGACUCCUAAGGGAGGCAGCAGUAGAGAAUCUUCCGCGAUGGGCGAGUGCCUGACGGAGCAAAGCCGCGUGAGUGAUGAAGGUCUUCGGAUCGUAAAACUCUGUUAUUAGGGAAGAACAUAUGUGUAAGUAACUGUGCACAUCUUGACGGUACCUAAUCAGAAAGCCACGGCUAACUACGUG